rnacentral:rRNA from 1 species
CCCUUAGAUGUUCUGGGCCGCACACGCGCUACACUGAAGGAGGCAGCGUGUACUCCUGGAUCGAAAGAUUUGGGUAACCCGCGAAUCUCCUUCGUGCUAGGGAUUGAGGUUUGCAAUUAUCCUUCAUGAACGAGGAAUUCCCAGUAAGUGCAAGUCAUAAGCUUGCGCUGACUACGUCCCUGCCCUUUGUACACACCGCCCGUCGCUACUACCGAUCGAAUGAUUUAGUGAGGACUUCGGACUGGGACCGAUGCGGCUUUCGGGCUGCGUCGGUAUUCUGGAAAGAUGUCCAAACUGUAUCAUUUAGAGGAAGUAAAANUCGUANCA